CAGCAUAUGGAAGUUCCCAGGCGAGGGGUGGAAUGGUAGCUACAGCUGCUGGCCUACACCACAGCCACAGCAGUGCCAGAUCCGAGCCACAUCUGUGACCUACACCACAGCUCAUGACAAUGCUGGAUCCUUAACCCACUGAACAAGGCCAGAGAUCAAGCUUGAGGACUCAUGGAUACUAGUCAGGUUCUUAACUCACUGAGCCUCAACGGGAACUCCCAGAAAUGGAUUUUUUAAGUUGGGUAAGCCCAUAAAAAAGAAGCAUUAACAGGCUCUUUUGAAUUUUCUUGGCUCAAGCCGUGGGCUGCUGAUUCCUUCUUAACCACAUAACACAAGAAGUUUAAGGACAGACCAAACAGCACGGGUGAGUUGGAAACGUGACUUCCUUUUAAUUCAUGAAGCAGAGGGAACUUCCCUCCCACACCAAGCAUGGCUUAAAGACUGUCUCAACCAGAAACAUGGAUGGCGGAUUCGGAUGCCAAGUGCUACGACAGCCCUGUCCCGUUCCUGAAAGGUCACACUGCUAUGAUUCCCAUUCUACAGUCAGGCAAACUAAAGCCACAUGGCCUGUGUGAGAUGGUGCUGGAUUCAAAUUCAGAACCCGGGCACUUAACUGCCCCUUGGUGUAGAAAAGGGGAAUUUAAGAUACAAUGGGAAGAGGAAGAAAAAUAUAAAUUUUCAGGGAAACCUUUGUACCUUAAAUUUAAUAAGGUGUUGGGGAAGUCAAUAUUUAUGUAAAUCAGUGUGUGUGUAAAUCAGUCUAUUAACUGGGGACCGUGCCAUGACCAAAGAUACCACCUUAUUCCAAUGCUUAUUCCAAUGGCCUCAAAGCACUUUAUAUUUUCAUUUUAUUUUAUAUAUCUAUUUUAACUCACAGGUAUCAUCUCUUUGGGCAAAAGUAUAAAAAAAGAUCACUUAAAUCCUUUUUUUGUCUGCCCAUUUAUUUCAGUAAAUCAAACAGACUUCUCCCACUAACUUAUAAUGUCAAGGAAGUUUUACAUUUGUAUAAAAUUGAUUUCAGGCUUCAUCUACCUUCAAAUACAUUGUUUUUCCAUUUUACCACUAUCAUGCUCUGACUUAGGUAAUAUGAAUACCUCCCACUUGAAAAAAAUAUAGACUAGGAGUUCCCACUGUGGCACAGUGGGUUAAGGAUCCAGCGUUGCUGCAGCUACAGCGUAGGUCAAAGCUGUGGCUCAGAUUUGAUCCCUGGCCUAGGAACUUCCAUAUGCCAUGGGUGUGGCCAAAAAAAAAAAAAGUAGAUUCGUUUUCCACUUUAGAAGUAUUUCCCACUUUACAUACUGCAAUUUGCAUUUGUAAGAGACCCAGCUAAUGCCUAAGGCAGCACUCAGAGUCUCCUUUUCCAAUCCUGAGCUGGGCCCCACUGAGCCUCUUCUCCCAAGGCCUCAUCCUUGGGCUCUGUCUUCUGUCUGCUGGUCCACUAAGCCAGUUCAGCCAGAAUCUCAACCCUUGAUUUUUCCUCUUGGUCGUUUCCCAUCCUCCAACCCACCCCAUCAUUGACUCUAAUUCCCCCGCUGUCUGGGCCAGAUUCAGAGUUGAGCCCCAUCUCACCCACAUUGUGACAGUCUUAACACCUUCAGUCCUAAAUAAAGUCUUCUGUACCAUUUUAACAAAUGUCAGAAUGACCUUUUACUUUCUUUUCUUUCCUUUCUUGUGUGUGUGUGUGUGUGUGUGUGUCUUUUUAGGGCUGCACCCAUAGCAUAGUGAAGUUCCCAGGCUAGGGGUUGAAUCAGAGCGGUAGCCACUGGCCUAUGCCACAGACACAGCAACACCAAAUGUGAACACGUCUUCGACCUACACCACAGCUGACAGCAACGCUGAUCUUUAACCCACUGAGCGAGGCCAGGGAUCAAACCUGCAUCCUCAUGGAUGCUAAUCAGGUUCUUAACUUGCUGAGCACAACGGUGAACUCCCAGGCUAUUUUUUUAGCAGGCAAAACAUCUCACCACUGACACUACGUGAAAGCAUGUAAGUGAAGGAGUAUUCAUAUAAUGCCAGAGGUUUGACAUUUAAAACCAAAAUUGAGAAUAAGAGUGCUCUGAGAGCAUUACAAAACAUGCCUCCUUCCUCCACUCUCCCAGGGGGUCUUAUUUACGCCCUCAGAAUCCAGAGAUGAUUCUCAGCCACUGUCCCCAUGGCAGCCCAACAUAGGUCCUAUCACCUCCAACUGGACCGUCACACUGCCCAGCACCCCCUACUGCCCCUCCCUCCACUCCAGUUCACCACCACUGGUCACUGCCCAGGAACCCCACCACCCAUGCACUCAGAAUGGUGAGUCUGUUCCAAACCUCCUAGCUCUGGGCCUCCCCAAUCCCUUCUAGCUUCCCUAAACACAUCCUAAGUUCCUCUCCACCUUUGCUCCUGACACCAUGACAUCCUGGAAGGUCCCAAUGCCAGCUCACACCCACCCGAGUAUCUAAGACUGACACCUGUUUCUCCGACCUCAGCAUGGGCAGAGAUGGGUUAUAGCUGCCUGAUCUUCCCUAUUGGGUGGGAGCGUCACUAGCUGGGAAAACGUUUUAUUUCUUUGCCACUCACAGUGCCUAGCCCAGUGGAUCAGACACCGUAGGUAUUCAGUAAAUACUCAUGGAACAAUUGAACGUCACCGUUUAUUUUCUGGAAGGACAUUUUAUCCCUGGUUGCCCAGCCUGACAAACCUGUCAUUCGAAGCGAGCACGCGCCCUCUUGUGGCCUUGGGCUUACAGUACAUCCCAGAAAAGAGUUCAAUUACAGGGUUCUGAGAUUUACUCCCUGGGGGUUUUCUUCCUCCUAACGGUAGGCUGGGGCACAAAAAAAACAAUGCCAGUCCUGACCCUAAGAUAUGCCUUAGAGAAUUUAGCUCCUCCUCACAUCAACCAGGUAACAGGAGCUAUGGAUUCAUCAGGGCAUUUGAUCCCUCCCGCUUGAGAUGAGGAGACAUAAAAAAGCCCACCAACUGACUGCAAGGUGGGAAACUUGACUGGAUCGUGACUAAAACAAAUCAGCAUUUAGAGAUAUUUGGGAAAAUCAACAGCAGCCACAAACCUGCGCACAGAUAUCCACUACAGCUUUAUUCGUUAGCGAUGGGAAAAAGAAACAGCUACCAAGGAGUCACACUGUGGGACGCUGUGCGGCAAUGGAAAGGAGGGACUCUUGAGGCGGUUUUUUUUUUUUUUUUUUUUUUUUUUUUGGCUGCACAUGGCAUGCAGAACUUCCUGGGCCAGGGAUCAAACCCAUGCCACAGCAGUGACAACGUCAGAUCCUUCACCACUAGGCCACCAGGGAACACCUUGUGAUUCUGUUUAAGUGAAGUUCCAGGAGAGGCAACGGCAGGAAAAAUUGGAAUAGGGGCUGCCUGUGGUUGUGGGGCUUGACUGGGGGAAUUUUCUGGGAUGAUGGGAAUAUUCUGUAACUUGAUAAGGGAUUUGGAUUACACAGAUGUAUGUGUUCAUCUUAACUCACCAAAUAUUACAGUUGAAAAAUGGGUGUCUGUCAUUACACAUGUAAAUGUUACUCCAAAAAGGAAAAAAAAAAAAAAAGUACUGAACAAAUGAUGCCUGUGCUGAAGUAUGGGGGAGAAGAACGGUGAGAUCUGCAUCUUGAUGUGAAAUGCUUUGAAAAACCAAGAUGAAUUAAUGGACAUACAGGAGGAUGGCUAGCUGGGUAGGUACGUAAUAAAAGCAAACAGCAGAAUGUUAAUUGUAGAACUAGGUGGUGGCUAUAAAAUUCUUUCCACUUGUCUGUUAUUUAAAAAAAAUUAUAAAAUUUCAGGAGAAAAGAAAUUGGGGGACAUCUGAAUACAGACAGAGCAUUAGAUAACUGAAUAAAUAUUGUUCAUCUCUUAUGUAUGAUGGUGCUGCUGUGCCUAAUGGGAAAAUGUCUUUAUUUUCAGAGAUGCGUAUUCAAGUAUUCAGAGGUGAAGUGUCAUAAUGUUCAAAAUGCACUUUAAAACACUCCAGAGGAAAAAUGAAGCUAAAAUUGCAAACUGUUAAUUAAUAAUUGUUACAUCCAUGUGAUGGACAUAUGACUGUCAAUCAUUCUGUUUUCCCUCUUCCAAAUUUUUCAUAAUAAAAAGAAGGCACACCCUCUCAAGGAGCUUGGGCUCCAACCAUCGAAUUGCAGUCCUGUCCCUUUUCUCUGAUCUGCUCACAUCGUUAUAUAUUUCCUUUUAAAAAUGAAGUCCAUGAUGACAAUGAAGAAAAUCUGCUAUGAAUUUGCUAGUCUGGUGAUGAGCACCAGGUCAGAAGGGAAAUGGAAAGAUAACGAGCGAAUAAGAAAAUAAAGGACAAACCAGGAAGCAAGUGAUGAACAAGGAGAGGACAGGUGACUGUGGGAAGGAGCAAGUUUACCUGUUCUUAAUACACACCCAGCCCCCAGUACUACCUGUCUUGAUCCCUGGCAUCACCCACUACUAACAACCAAAGUCAAGACCUAGACACGGUUCGCCCCCAUCCCAUCAGCCACCAAGUCCAGGGCCCUCUGCCUCCCACAUCUCUCUCCAUUCAGGUACCUCGGGCUCCACAAUGACCUCAUCUGUAAAAUGAGCACCAUGACACCUAUUUCCUGAGCUGUUGUCAGGAUCAAAUACAACAGCAUCCUGUGUGUGCCAGAGCUGGAAUGCAUAAGUGUGUGUUUCUUUAUUUCCCUUGCUUGUCC
ensembl:lncRNA